GACGAACGCUGGCGGCGUGCCUAAUACAUGCAAGUCGAGCGGACGUUUUUGAAGCUUGCUUCAAAAACGUUAGCGGCGGACGGGUGAGUAACACGUGGGCAACCUACCUUAUCGACUGGGAUAACUCCGGGAAACCGGGGCUAAUACCGGAUAAUAUCUAGCACCUCCUGGUGCCGGAUUAAAAGAGGGCUUCUUGCUCUCACGAUGAGAUGGGCCCGCGGCGCAUUAGCUAGUUGGAGAGGUAACGGCUCCCCAAGGCAACGAUGCGUAGCCGACCUGAGAGGGUGAGCGGCCACACUGGGACUGAGACACGGCCCAGACUCCUACGGGAGGCAGCAGUAGGGAAUCUUCCGCAAUGGACGAAAGUCUGACGGAGCAACGCCGCGUGAGUGAUGGAGGGUUUCGGCUCGUAAAGCUCUGUUAUGAGGGAAGAACACGUACCGUUCGAAUAGGGCGGUACCUUGACGGUACCUCAUCAGAAAGCCACGGCUAACUACGUGCCAGCCGCCGCAGUAA
rnacentral:rRNA from 1 species